rnacentral:snRNA from 1 species
GGAUAUGAGGGCGAUCUGGAUGCGACAUCUGUCACCCCAUUGAUCGCCAGGGUUGAUUUGGCUGAUCUGGCUGGCUAGGCAUGUGUCCCCUUCCUCCCUCAACGAUCCACAUGCCUCCCUCCUGAAGCUGCGUACUCGGUCGAAGAGGACAACCACCCCCAAUAGAGGAGGACCGUUCCUCGGUCAAGGGUAUACAAGUAGCUGCGCUCCCCUGCUAGAACCUCCAAACAAGCUCUCAAGAAUUCCCGCUUGUGGACAAGAUCAUGUGUGUGAUCUCUCAGGCCUGACUUCAGAUCACCAUGAAGGCUGUACUUGGCAGGAGGUAUGU